AGCAACUCCAAGUAAUUUUGUCAAGGCCUGGUGGGAAGGGAUCCACACGACUUGGGAACAGUAAAUAUAGUAACCACAAUUAAGACUCUGCAUACACAGAUAAACAAAGAAGAUCCUGUAUGUCUGGGAACAAAUCAAAUACAGAGAAAGAAACAGCAUUCUUCUGUUGGACGCACGCAGUCCUUCCAGAGAUCAGUGGAGGAGACCUCUCGUGGCCAGCUGCAGCACUUUCAGCAGAGAAGUGAUUAAUGCCAAUGAUGGGUGAUGCUGCUAGGUGCUGAGCUGACCCUUCGGGAAGAACAUGAGAAGGGAAGAUGAAGUGAUUUGAUCAUGAUCACAAAGUCUUUAUAGUUCAGCCCUCUGUCUUCUUUUUUGUCCACUCCACUACAAUUUCAUAAUUACUUUUGAAGUCCCAUUGUUGUCCAUCUGGUCUGAACCAGUGGCAGCUAUGUAACCCGUGUGACAACUUGUUUUAUUCUUAUACAUGGUAGUGACUAAAAUUCACUACCCUUGUUCCUAUCCAUGUCCUCACAUCAGGUCUCAGGCAGAACUCUUCCUGCAGCCCCUCAGGACAGCCAGCGUAUACACAUCUCUGGUUAUUCCCAUACAUGCCACAUCAUGCCCAUCAGAAGCAAUCAGCACUGGAAUUCAGACCUCAACACAGCAUCGGCCUCCUAAAAAAAAAUAGUAAUUUGGCUAUUUUUGGUAAAUUUACUCUUUAGGAACUUAGGAAUUGCUGUGGCACACAGCUCAUUUUUAUGGAAGUCUAAGAAGGUCAAAUUGCCCAGCUCCUGACUCAUGUUCUCCAUGAGUCAGGUUUCCCAGCCUCUCUGGGAACCCACUGUUGUCAUUACAGCCUGGUCUGGACCCCGGUUGGAGGCAAUGGGAAAAGUGCUGAAGGCACGUGCAGCAUUUUUUGUUCUAACCUGCUAGAAGUAUGAAGGCAAUGAGAUGAUGUGGUUAAUCUUUACCAGAGAAGGCUAGAGAGAGGAUCCUGAGCUAUCUAGCUGCCAGCAAAAGCUGCCUUGGCAACUGUGUAAUGGGCAAUGGCCUGUACUUGAGCAGCUUCAAGAAGAGAUGCAAUCAGGCAUUUGCUAUCUUUCUUCUUUCCAUUAAGUUCAAAGUACUACAUAAUCACUUCAAUUUUCUUUCAGCAGUGAUAAGGCUCAAGAAUAAACCACAAAGCCUGAACUC
rnacentral:lncRNA from 7 species